GACGAACGCUGGCGGCGUGCCUAAUACAUGCAAGUAGAACGCAGUUGGGAACGGGUGAGUAACGCGUAGGUAACUGCCUGGUAGCGGGGGAUAACUAUUGGAAACGCUAGCUAAUACCGCAUACUACCAGAUGGACCUGCGUUGUAUUAGCUAGCUGGUGGGGUAACGGCGCACCAAGGCAACGAAACAUAGCCGAACUGGGAGGGGGAGCGGCCACACUGGGACGGAGACAAGGCCCAGACUCCUACGGGAGGGCGCAGUAGGGAAUCUUCGGCAAUGGGGGGAAACCUGACCGAGCAACGCCGCGUGAGGGAAGAAGGUUUUCGGAUCGUAAAGCUCUGUUGUUAAGGAAGCGGUACUUAACCAGAAAGGGACGGCUAACUACGUGCCAGCAGCCGCGGUAAUUC
rnacentral:rRNA from 1 species